GAUCGCAUGAAGACCUUUCCCCCAAAGGAAGCAGGCAGUGGCAGCCCAGGCUAUCCUGGACACAGAAUGUUGCAGCUACACGUCAGGCUGAGCAAGCCAUAUGGCUCCCAGGUACCUGCCGAGAUUUUGGCGUCUUCAGAGCCAAGGAGGAUAAUUCCUGGUGAGAGGCCAAUAGGGCUCAUCUGCUCCCACCUGGGUCCAACCACAGACGUGCAUUCUGGAAUCUCCCCAAACCCAGAUUCUCUGCUGCCAAGCCGAGAUUUCGGGCUCCUUGCAGGCCCCUGCCUGGAGUCUUGCUGGCAAGCUUUUCUUGGUGCAAGGAACCCGUGUUCAGACCCAAAGACUUGUGCUUUGAGGGUGCUGCCAUUUGUGACCCUUUACUCUACAUAGCCCAAAUGAUAGCUAGGGCGAUCACUCGUAUCUGGACCCCACUAGACAUCCCCCUUCCAGCACGGCCCCUUUAAGUACCACCCUACUGAUUACCACUGGGGGCAGCACUGAGCAGCCAGGCCAGGAUCAGAGCUGCUGCCUCCAAGCUUCUGCCGGUACCGGCUACAUAGCCGGGUCAGGUACACACCGGAACCGAUUUGGGUUAUGCAGCCUACCUGGGCUCAGCUCAUGGAGAAAUAACCAGGCUGAAUGGCCUGUGAGGUUUCUCCUGCAGGUACUUCUAAUAUAGGUAUGGAGCCAGCACCAGAAGCCCUGACCAAGACCUGCAGCCAGGGCUGCUCCAUCCCCUAUGCCCCAGGUAAGCCGGCCCAGCACGUGGGGUGGGUGGGGGUAAAGGGUCUGGGGUGCAAAGGUGGCUGCCCUGACCGGUAUCUCCUCCCAGGGCAAAAUCCCCGGAAGGCCGAGUGACUGGAACCGCUAGCCUGGGGACGUCUUUUAAGAUGACCCGCACGGACCCGCCGGACUUGCUGGUGUCGACCGUGUACCAGGACAUCAAGGUGGUGGCCCCAGGGCUCACAUCCAAAAGCCAACCAUGUGAGCGAUCCGUGCCCCGGCCAGCUGCGCCCGCGCCUUUCAACAAGCGCCACUGCCGUAGUUUCGAUUUCUUAGAGGCACUGGACGAGCCCACCAUGGAGACACACCCAGAGCCGCCACCUCCCGAGCCCGCGCCACCGCGCGCCCGGCGAGACAGCGAGCCUCGGCGCCGCACCCGUUCCAAGAGCGCGCCCCGUGGGCCCCAUGGCCUGGCGCCUGCUCCAGCUUCGCCGCCAGUACUGCAGCGCAGAGGCCGGGAGGCCCAGCGUUCGGUGCGGUUGGAGGGGUCGCCGCACAAGGAGCCCUCGUACCCUGCGCUACGGGCUCUCGCCAAUGAGCUGCACCCCAUCAAGCUCCAGCCACAGCGUGGUGGCCCCGGACGCAUCGCACCUCUGUGCGCCACUCCAGGCCGCUGUGCACCACCCGAACCACCCACAGGACCCGUCCCCCAUGUCCGCUGCCGUUUGGACAUCAAGCCUGACGAGGCAGUGCUGCAGCACGCCGCCCGAAGCUCGCGAUCUUGCGCUCCCAGCGAGGCGGCGCCCUGGGCUCGCACCGUCCCACAGUUCCAUGGCCUCACAAUUCCAGGCCCCCGCCAUGUGGCCCUGUCACGCACUCCCACCCCUAGUGACUUGUACUGUCCUGAUCCCAGAGCAGUGUACUGCGACGGGCCGUUGCCUGGGUCCCGGGACUAUUUGGAGCACCGCAGCCAACCCUUUGCAACGCCCCCAGGUCCCACCCAAUUUUUCUACACGGAGGAACCUGAGGGCUACACAGGCAGUUUUACCACAAGCCCAGGCCUUCCCUUUGAUGGCUACUGCUCCAGGCCCUACUUGACCGAAGAAACCCCCAGACCCAGUUCAAGGCGUGGGGGUGGCUACUAUGCUGGGGAAGUACGCACCUUCCCGAUCCAGGAGCCCCCCUCCCGUUCCUACUACGGGGAGGCUCCUCGAGCCUACGGAAUGCCUUUCGUCCCCCGGUAUGUCCCAGAAGAGUCCCGGGCACACCCUAGUGCCCGCACCUUCUACACAGAGGACUAUGGAAGGUUCCGUGAACGCGACGUAAUGACUCGCACUUACCCGCAUCCCCGCAGCAAUCCCGCCUGGGCUGAUUGGGGUCCGAGGCCUUACCGCACCCUUCAGGUGGUGCCUCCUCCCGCCCCUGGACCACUGUUGGCCUCGUGGCACGGUGGCACUGGCACAAGCCCGCCCCGGCUGGUGACCGAUAGCCGCCACUACUCUCGAUCCUGGGACAACAUCCUGGCUCCUGGUCCUCGUCGUGAAGACCCUCUAGGACGCGGCCGCAGCUAUGAGAACCUGCUGGGACGCGAGGUUCGGGAUACACGGGGUUCAUCCCCGGAAGGCCGGCGUCCACCAGUCGUAGUGAACCUAUCCACCUCACCCAGACGCUAUGCAGCACUGUCGCUGUCCGAGACGUCACUUACAGAAAAGGGCCGUGGUGGGGAAAGCCUGGGCCGCAACUGGUACAUCACGCCGGAGAUCACCAUCACAGACAAUGACCUGCGCUCAGUAGAACGCCCGACCGCCAGGGGCUGGGAACUGCCUGGAGGCCGACAGCGGCAGCCUGCACCCAAAGUCCCUGAGGGCCCUGCUGCCAGCCGCCAGCGCAGCCUCGAGCAGCUAGACGAGCUCAUCACCGACCUGGUCAUCGACUCACGGCCACCAGGCCAGGCCCCAGAGCCUGCCACCGAAGGUUUAGGCCGCCAACUGCGCCGCCUGCUGGACUCACGGUCUGCGGGCCCCGGAGGUGCAACCGCGCUGGCUCCGUCGCGCUCACCCCCGGCCUCGGCUGGCAGCACCGAGGAGCCCACCGGUUCAGGGGAGGCAGCCGAUGCCUCCCCGGAGCCCAGCGCAGACGAGGAUGACUUGAUGACCUGCUCCAACGCACGCUGUCGGCGGACAGAGACCAUGUUCAACGCCUGCCUCUACUUCAAGUCAUGCCACAGCUGCUAUACCUACUACUGCUCGCGGCUGUGCCGCCGAGAGGACUGGGAUGCGCACAAAGCGCGUUGCGUGUAUGGCCGCGUGGGCAGCGUGUGCCGCCACGUGCUGCAGUUCUGCCGCGACAGCAGCCCAGUGCAUCGCGCCUUCUCCCGGAUAGCGCGUGUCGGAUUCCUGUCGCGCGGUCGUGGCGUGCUGUUCUUGGGCUUCCCAAGCCCGGGCUCUGCCGACAACUUCCUGCGCUUCGGCCUCGAAGGGCUACUGCUAUCGCCCACCUACCUAUCACUGCGUGAGCUGGCUACACAUGCAGCGCCCCUGGGUAGCUAUGCACGAGAGUUGGCGGCGGCCGGGAGGCUCUAUGAGCCCGCGGAGUGCUUCCUGCUUAGUGUGUCGGUGGCCGUGGGCCCUGGAGCUGCACCCCCCGGAGCCGCUGCCCGUCCAGCGCCACGCAGCCCUGGCCCUACGGUGCGCAAGUUUGCCAAGGUGGCUCUGGCCGCCGGCAGCCCGACGCGGCCUCCUCCUGCGCGUGGUGGAGAGCCAGACAUGGAAACACUGAUCCUAACGCCACCUCCAGGCACUGCGGGCCUGGACCAGGAGGGUGAGGCUGGCCGGCGCGCACGUGAAGUGGCCUUCAUCCACAUCCAGCGUGAACUGCGACUGCGCGGCGUCUUCCUUCGCCAUGAGUUCCCACGCGUCUAUGAGCAGCUCUGCGAGUUCGUCGAGGCUAACCGGCGCUUCACACCCACCACCAUCUAUCCCAUCGAUAGGCGCACUGGCCGCCCCUUCAUGUGCAUGAUCAUGGCUGCUUCCGAGCCGCGUGCACUCGACUGGGUAGCCAGCGCCAAUCUGCUAGAUGACAUCAUGUGAGCUUUGGGACUAUUAGGCCCAGGCUCUGACCAGAGCCCUGCCUACUCAGGCCCAGCCUGAUCCAUCAAGACUGGCCCCAGAAUCUGGACCAGCUGGUUCAGUGCCCUGCUAAGUCUCCCGGAGCCUUCCUUAGUCUUCUACAAAUUCUCUGCCCUGAGCUCCACCCACUCCAAACAUCUAACUUUGCCUAGGAGCCCACCCCCGCCACACACACACACACACACACACACACACACACCCUCCCUGUUCCCCAUCAGCUGCUUCUCUUCCUUCCUGUUUUCAACCAGACCACCCAGAUCCUACCUACACCCUGGGCUCUCAAGUCAGCCAGGGGGAGGGGGCUCCCUAAGAGCCCGGUCCUCGCCCUCGGUGCUCCCCGCUGGGAGGUGGGGUGGGCCUGAGGACCGCUGGGCUCUGCCUUCUAGUGGAAGGUUACUACUACACACAUCCCAUGGGGACAAACUUGAUAUACUUCGUGGGUGCUUGCUAUAGCUCGCCAACCCUGGAUCUAUUCCCUUUCCUCCUAGUCCAGCAGUUCAUGUUGACCAAAGCCUAAAGUCCUUACUGCAAGCACUCCCCUAACCCUCCUCCUGUGUCUGGGAUGUGUCAGGUUUCAGAGGCCUGGUUCCUGUGCAUCCCUAGGAUGUUGAGGCAAUGGGCAGGGCGGAUGCUACACCCUAACAGUACUGCCUGUCCUGAGGUUCUCUCACCUCUGGUCACCUUGGUCUGGGCCCUUGCAGGACCAGUUAGAAUAGUGAGGGGUCUUUAGGCCAAGGCUCAAGCCAUCCAGCCAGAGGGGAACCUGGGAAGGGGAAGCAGAAUGCGGAUGGUGUGCUGGCCGGAAUUAAAAUCUGGCUGGGUGAGGGUUUGAGCUCAUCCACACCCACUCAACAAGAUGGCCCUAAAACAAUCCACCUUCCAGAGAAGAUGGAAGCUCAGACCUUAAUCUCCCAGGGAGGUGGGAAGUGUGUGCUGAUGAAUUAGCAGGGGACCCUACAUAGAGCAACACACUUACCUGCCGACUGAUUUGGGAAUAAGGAACAGGGGCUGUCCCUAAUUAGGGACUGGUUGGGGUGCAGAGUAGUGAGCCACCCGGUGUGGGAGCUGAUAGGGAGCCGGUGCUGAGGCUUAACAUGAGUCCAACCUAUGCACAAAAGUGCCGCAUACUCGCCCUGGCUGAACUCCAAGCUGAGAAUAGAAGCCAAAGCCUGAUGUGUAAUGGAGACUAAGCCUAGGCAGUCCUGGGUCCCUUGUCGGACCUCUGCAGCCUAACUGUACCCGGAUUUGAGCCCAGGGCUCCGUGGAGGGUGUGACCCAGAGAGGCUUGAGACCAGAAGCUGGACAAGUACUCUCUAGAACCCCGAAGCCCCUUCGUAGGUAAGGGAGGUCCAACGCGAGAGCCUGGGACAACUCCCUGUGCGCGCAGUGUGCGCAUGCGUCACUACCCCCCACCCCGUACCCUGCUCUGUGUCCCCGGAAUAGCCCAGAGCUCCCACCUUCGCCUGUGUCUUAGCACCUGCCCCAUGCCGCCCUUGCAACACUUGCUGCCGCACCGCCUGCCGCCCUCCCCAGGGGCUCCACAUUCCUUCCUGCGGCGGGCUGAUCGCAGCUCCUUUAACAGCGACUCAAGAUCGCAAAGCUGCAAAGAACUGGGUUGCAAUUGGCUAGUCCGUGCCUCAGAACAGAAGUACAACUGGCUGAGGCUCUGGACCUCGGGAAACAU